rnacentral:rRNA from 1 species
AUACGGAGGAUCCGAGCGUUAUCCGGAUUUAUUGGGUUUAAAGGGAGCGUAGGUGGAUUGUUAAGUCAGUUGUGAAAGUUUGCGGCUCAACCGUAAAAUUGCAGUUGAAACUGGCAGUCUUGAGUACAGUAGAGGUGGGCGGAAUUCGUGGGGUAGCGGUGAAAUGCUUAGAUAUCACGAAGAACUCCGAUUGCGAAGGCAGCUCACUAGACUGUUACUGACACUGAUGCUCGAAAGUGUGGGUAUCAAACAGGAUUAGAUACCCUGGUAGUCCACACAGUAAACGAUGAAUACUCGCUGUUUGCGAUAUACAGUAAGCGGCCAAGCGAAAGCAUUAAGUAUUCCACCUGGGGAGUACGCCGGCAACGGUGAAACUCAAAUGAAUUGGCGGGG